AUAAUGUUUUUGAAGAGAGACCAUCUGAACCCAGAUCCUCUGGUAGGCCCGGUGACCAUCUGAACCCAGGUCCUCUGGUAGGCCCUGUGACCAUCUGAACCCAGAUCCUCUGGUAGGCCCGGUGACCAUCUGAACCCAGGUCCUCUGGUAGGCCCUGUGACCAUCUGAACCCAGAUCCUCUGUUAGGCCCUGUGACCAUAUGAACCCAGAUCCUCUGGUACUGUAGGCCCCGUGACCAUCUGAACCCAGAUCCUCUGGUACUGUAGGCUCCGUGACCAUCUGAACCCAGGUCCUCUGGUAGGCCCCGUGACCAUCUGAACCCAGGUCCUCUGGUAGGCCCCUUGAACAUCUGAACCCAGGUCCUCUGGUAGGCCCCGUGACCAUCUGAACCCAGGUCCUCUGGUAGACCCCGUGACCAUCUGAACCCAGGUCCUCUGGUAGGCCCCGUG
ensembl:lncRNA